rnacentral:lncRNA from 1 species
UUUGGAUGGAAACAUUAAAAGUAAUGACUUUAGUGUGUUCCAUUAUGAAUGCAAAAUAUAUAUUGCCAUAUAGAAGCUUACAACAAUGUUGUUUGGAUGGGAAAGUUCAUUUAUGAACUCUCUAUUCGGUUCCAACCAAAAAGUGUCUCUAGUGUACCGACACUACGACACUAAUGGGGCGAUAGCUCAAGCCAAGGAAUCAAGGUCUCAUCAAGAUCCGAACUCAUAUGAGAGACUGAACCACAUGAUUGAGAAUCAUGUAUAAUGGUGACGUCGUUAUUCUCAAGGUUGCUUCUAUGGAUAACAUAUAGAUAUCCAUUGUCUAGGCCUACUAUUCAGCCAUUUAUGAAAUGACUACAGAAGAGGUAUCAUCACUGAUGAUCA